rnacentral:rRNA from 1 species
ACGAACGCUGGCGGCGUGCUUCACACAUGCCAGUCGAACGGAAAGGCCCUGCUUUUGUGGGGUGCUCGCGUGGCGAACGGGUGAGUAACACGUGAGUAACCUGCCCUUGACUUUGGGAUAACUUCAGGAAACUGGGGCUAAUACCGGAUAGGAGCUCCUGCUGCAUGGUGGGGGUUGGAAAGUUUCGGCGGUUGGGGAUGGACUCGCGGCUUAUCAGCUUGUUGGUGGGGUAGUGGCUUACCAAGGCUUUGACGGGUAGCCGGCCUGAGAGGGUGACCGGCCACAUUGGGACUGAGAUACGGCCCAGACUCCUACGGGAGGCAGCAGUGGGGAAUAUUGCACAAUGGGCGGAAGCCUGAUGCAGCAACGCCGCGUGCGGGAUGACGGCCUUCGGGUUGUAAACCGCUUUCGCCUGUGACGAAGCGUGAGUGACGGUAAUGGGUAAAGAAGCACCGGCUAACUACGUG